rnacentral:rRNA from 1 species
AGCUCCAAUAGCGUAUAUUAAUGUUGUUGUGGUUAAAAAGCUCGUAGUUGGAUCUCGGCAGAUUGAGGGCGGUUUGCUUGCUAGUAUUACUGCCCUAUAAUCUGUAGUUUUGCCAGAGGUUUUAGGGUGCUCUUAAUCGAGUGUCCUGGGAUGCUGGCAGGUUUACUUUGAAAAAAUUAGAGUGCUCAAAGCAGGCUGUUACGCCUGAAUAUUCGUGCAUGGAAUAAUAGAAUAGGAAGUCGUUUCUAUUUUGUUGGUUUUCGGAAAUCGACUUAAUGAUUAAUAGGGACAGUCGGGGGCAUUUGUAUUCAAACGACAGAGGUGAAAUUCUUGGACCGUUUGAAGACAAACUACUGCGAAAGCAUUUGCCAAGAAUGUUUUCAUUAAUCAAGAACGAAAG